UACGUAGGGGCCUAGCGUUGUCCGGAAUUAUUGGGCGUAAAGAGCUCGUAGGCGGUGUGUCACGUCGGCCGUGAAAACCUACAGCUUAACUGUGGGCGUGCGGUCGAUACGGGCAUCACUGGAGUUCGGCAGGGGAGACUGGAAUUCCUGGUGUAGCGGUGAAAUGCGCAGAUAUCAGGAGGAACACCGGUGGCGAAGGCGGGUCUCUGGGCCGAUACUGACGCUGAGGAGCGAAAGCGUGGGGAGCGAACAGG
rnacentral:rRNA from 1 species